AAGUCGUAACAAGGUAACCGUAGGUGAACCUGCGGUUGGAUCAUUAUUUGGAACGCGCUUUUUUGAGUGCAUCGACCCUGUGCAUUUUUAGUACUUGAUACGUGAUUGAGAGUGCUCGUACGUGCUCACGACAAUACAAUAAACUGAGAAGCAAAUCAAAACAACUUUUGACAACGGAUCUCUUGGCUCUC
rnacentral:misc_RNA from 1 species